UGUCAACCUAGGGCGGAUUGGCUAGCUACUCGAGGUACUACCUACGUCUGCAAAGACAAGGUACGACAGGUCAGAGUUCAGAGGCUCGGAUGGGUCAGAGUUAGUCCUUAGAGGGGGACAGGUUAGCAUACCCAGCAGUUUGAUAUCAACCCUACAGGCUCGUGAAUUCGUUAGGGAAGUUAGUCAGGAGUUUUCUUGCUCUUGUUUGAGCGCAUAGCCAGGUCAGGGAACCAGCCUCAGUAUUC
rnacentral:lncRNA from 1 species